CUGAUGGAUGGACCCGCGGUGCAUUAGCUAGUUGGUGAGGUAACGGCUCACCAAGGCCACGAUGCAUAGCCGACCUGAGAGGGUGAUCGGCCACACUGGGACUGAGACACGGCCCAGACUCCUACGGGAGGCAGCAGUAGGGAAUCUUCGGCAAUGGACGAAAGUCUGACCGAGCAACGCCGCGUGAGUGAAGAAGGUUUUCGGAUCGUAAAACUCUGUUGUUAGAGAAGAACAAGGACGAGAGUGAACGUUCAUCCCUUGACGGUAUCUAACCAGAAAGCCACGGCUAACUACGUGCCAGCAGCCGCGGUAAUACGUAGGUGGCAAGCGUUGUCCGGAUUUAUUGGGCGUAAAGCGAGCGCAGGCGGUUUCUUAAGUCUGAUGUGAAAGCCCCCGGCUCAACCGGGGAGGGUCAUUGGAAACUGGGAGACUUGAGUGCAGAAGAGGAGAGUGGAAUUCCAUGUGUAGCGGUGAAAUGCGUAGAUAUAUGGAGGAACACCAGUGGCGAAGGCGGCUCUCUGGUCUGUAACUGACGCUGAGGCUCGAAAGCGUGGGGAGCGAACAGGAUUAGAUACCCUGGUAGUCCACGCCGUAAACGAUGAGUGCUAAGUGUUGGAGGGUUUCCGCCCUUCA
rnacentral:rRNA from 1 species